CCUUCGAUAGCUCAGUUGGUAGAGCGGAGGACUGUAGAGUGUAAGAUGACAUCCUUAGGUCGCUGGUUCGACUCCGGCUCGAAGGA